UCGAGAAUUUUUCACAAUGGGGGAAACCCUGAUGGAGCGACGCCGCGUGGGGGAUGAAUGGCUUCGGCCCGUAAACCCCUGUCAUUCGCGAUCAAAUGUUAUUGUUUAAGAGAUGAUAGCUUGAUAGUAGCGGAAGAGGAAGGGACGGCUAACUCUGUGCCAGCAGCCGCGGUAAUACAGAGGUCCCAAGCGUUGUUCGGAUUCACUGGGCGUAAAGGGUGCGUAGGUGGUGAGGUAAGUCGGAUGUGAAAUCUCGGAGCUUAACUCCGAAACUGCAUUGGAAACUACCUUGCUAGAGGGUUGGAGGGGGGACUGGAAUUCUCGGUGUAGCAGUGAAAUGCGUAGAUAUCGAGAGGAACACCAGUGGCGAAGGCGAGUCCCUGGACAACUCCUGACACUGAGGCACGAAAGCUAGGGGAGCAAACA
rnacentral:rRNA from 1 species